UACGUAGGUGGCGAGCGUUAUCCGGAAUUAUUGGGCGUAAGGAGCGCGCAGGUGGUUGAUUAAGUCUGAUGUGAAAGCCCACGGCUUAACCGUGGAGGGUCAUUGGAAACUGGUCGACUUGAGUGCAGAAGAGGGAAGUGGAAUUCCAUGUGUAGCGGUGAAAUGCGUAGAGAUAUGGAGGAACACCAGUGGCGAAGGCGGCUUCCUGGUCUGUAACUGACACUGAGGCGCGAAAGCGUGGGGAGCAAACAGG
rnacentral:rRNA from 1 species